GGGGAGGAAGGAAAUUGGAGGGAGGGGGGGAGGAAAGAAAUUUCCUUCUCCUUCUCCCCCCUCCAAUUUCCUUCUUCUCC